ACUAAAAGUGCUAUUAAGCUAACGUUAGCUGGGUCACUGUAGCAAGGGCAGCAAUAUUUGGUUUGGUUGAACACAAUAUCCUAUGACAUAAAAAAAUUUUUUUUAAAUAUCAUACAAACCAUUACUGUGAUUUAAAUGAUUGAAAAUUGAGCAUCCGAUUGAACAACAUCUAACGUUAGCAGUUUGGCUAGGCGUUAAACACCGACCGGCAUAUGGAAGAACAUGUAUCCCCUGUAGCAGAGGGCAGCAUAAUUCAAACAAAGCCUUCACCACAUUGUUCAGCUACUGUUGCUGGGCAGUCAUCCAUCAAACAUGAGCUGGACUGUUUUGAUACUGGUCGAGGGACGUCUUGAUCGCACUGAGAAACACAUUCCCCUGACGCUGUUAAGAAUAAGUAUUCCAGCAAUACUUUAAAAAUCAGGCACUGUCUGUCCCAACGUGUCAGUUUUGUUUAUGUCAAAUUUUCUGUGACAUCCAGCCACUGGUUCAGAGUCAUCUGUUUCCCCUCAUGACUAGCAUACCGUAAGUUAUGUCCAGGCUAUUUUCGCGUUUUGAGCUAAAUGACUGCAUGGCAGGAAAACUAAGCCCUUUCCUUGGUGCAUUCAAAUUUAUUUAUAAUAAAUAUUAUAAUAAUGAAGCUGAUAUUUAAGGCACUGACUUCGGUUCUUUCCUCUCCAAGCGUGGGAAAAGGCUCACUGCGGUUCCCCUGUGAAAAAGAAACACUGUUCUGUCCAUUGACCUUGUUCCUCUGGGCUUUGGAGCUUCCAUCUCCUGUGAAUUAGAGCUUUCACAGUCAGCCCUGCAGAUCAGCUUCCAUUUCUCAUUCCUAAUAUGUCAUCAUUGGCAGUGUUUACUGUUUCCUUGGCAAUUCAAAAAAUAUAUAAAAAGUAAUGAAAUUUGAAAUGUGAAAUCUUUUAUGUACCAUAUUAUAUAUAUUACAGAUUGA